rnacentral:rRNA from 1 species
UACGUAGGGUGCGAGCGUUGUCCAGAAUUAUUGGGCGUAAAGGGCUCGUAGGCGGUCUGUUGCGUCGGGAGUGAAAACUCAGGGCUUAACCCUGAGCCUGCUUCCGAUACGGGCAGACUAGAGGUAUGCAGGGGAGAACGGAAUUCCUGGUGUAGCGGUGAAAUGCGCAGAUAUCAGGAGGAACACCGGUGGCGAAGGCGGAUCUCUGGGCCAUUACUGACGCUGAGGAGCGAAAGCGUGGGGAGCGAACAGG